UUGCACGAUCUCUCCCGGGCUUCUCUGAAUGUUAAAUAAAUGAGGAAGAACGCCCCAAUGAUUGUGCUAGAUUUAAUCGCCGUUAAGUGUUGCAGUUUAGCCAUUUUGUUUUUAUCCAUGGCCGAUUCUGUGUCAAAUUAACUGCUAUAUAU